GACGUAGGGUGCGAGCGUUGCUCGGAAUUACUGGGCGUAAAGAGCGUGUAGGCGGCCUUGUAAGCGGGGUGUGAAAGCCCUCGGCUCAACCGAGGAAGUGCGCCCUGAACUGCUUGGCUUGAGUCCGGGAGAGGGCGGUGGAAUUCCUGGUGGAACGGUGAAAUGUGUAGAUAUCAGGAAGAACAUCGGUGGCGAAGGCGGCCGCCUGGCCCGGUACUGACGCUGAAACGCGAAAGCGUGGGUAG
rnacentral:rRNA from 1 species